AUCUCCCACUAGAUUAAACUGACACUUGCUAUGUUUACAGUGCUUUUUUCAAGUAGCAUAUUAUAAUAUUCAGUGAAAGAGGCUUGACAACAGAUCUAUUCCGAUCAACAUCUAUAAUGAUUAGGAUGACAAUGAUGAACCAUGGGCCGUUCGCAUUUGUGGAGACCGACAAAUAACUUGUCAGCGGCGGUAGGCUACCAGGAGGAAGCAGGCAGUACGCGAGCAAAUCACUGUUGCGCGUAAUCUCAUACUCGCCUGCUCAUUUUAACUUGAAGUAUUUUGUGUACUAUUGUGAACGUCUAUGUAUCCGGACAUUUCACCGUGUAUGCAAACUUUACAGAGCUAAAAGCACCCUCCACUCUCUUUGUCCACUGCAGCCCAUUCUGCAUGCGGAGCAGAUCGGACGUGGAAAUCGUAUCCUUCGCUCAAUCCAAGGAAUAUAUUUUGAACAUACGCGAUACAGCAGCCGGAGGGCGUUCACUAUCUGGACUGGAACAAUGUUUCUCUUGCAGUAUACAGAACACGUUUUGAAAUCAGUGCAACACAAAGUGCAACACAAAGGGCCGAAUAAGCUGGGCAAACUAAACGGAAACAACACAGGAUGUCUUAUAAAAGAGGUUGCAGUCUGCCGUGAAGCUUUCAUCCAUGUAUACAGCAUUAAUCAGUAGAACGCGCCUGACUCCACCAGUCAUACAGUCAUCAAAAAGAGAGGUGGACCAAGCAGGCAAAGGCAGUAGCGCAGUCAUCAACUACAAGCACCAUUUCUUCAACUACAGAGUUGGAAAAACACGUGUGGACCUGACUUGUGAUCACUGCAGUGGCCAGAACAAGUUUGUGCUCUGGUAUUGUGCCUGGUGGGCCAUGCACAAGCUCCACCACAAUUUGGACCUUCA